CCUACGGGAGGCAGCAGUGGGGAAUUUUGGACAAUGGGGGAAACCCUGAUCCAGCCAUUCCGCGUGAGUGAAGAAGGCCUUCGGGUUGUAAAGCUCUUUCGGCAGGAACGAAACGGCGGACUCUAACAUAGUCUGUCAAUGACGGUACCUGAAGAAGAAGCACCGGCUAACUACGUGCCAACAGCCGCGGUAAUACGUAGGGUGCGAGCGUUAAUCGGAAUUACUGGGCGUAAAGCGUGCGCAGGCGGCUUUGUAAGACGGAGGUGAAAUCCCUGGGCUUAACCAAGGAACUGCGUUCGUGACUGCAAAGCUGGAGUGCGGCAGAGGGGGGUGGAAUUCCUGGUGUAGCAGUGAAAUGCGUAGAGAUCGGGAGGAACACCGAGGGCGAAGGCGGCCCCCUGGGUUGACACUAACGCUCAGGCGCGAAAGCGUGGGGAGCAAACGGGAUUAGAUCCCCCGGUAGU
rnacentral:rRNA from 1 species